GGCAUGUCUUGUGAUUUAUAAAUUAUUAAUACUUAUGCAUUUAUUUGGACCUGGAAUUCCUUCUAAUGAACUUAUGAUCAUAUUAUUGAGCAUUAUAUAUUGGAGCUAUUGUUGUUCAAUUUGUGUUGGCACUUGUAAGGAUUUUAACCUUUCUUCCGCAUUGCAAGGAUAUCACUUUCAAAUAGUUUUUACCUCAAAAAAAAAAAAUCAAAUAAUUUAAAGUAACGUCAAAGUUUCAACAGGUAUGCAAGGAACGUAAGGAGCUUUAAGUUGACUACCGGAUAAUCACUUAGGACUGAUGGGACUCUGUGCCAUUAGCUUUUGAGUACUUCCAUUUUGGGCCAAAGAUAUCAUUAUUUAUUCAUUUAUUUUUCGGUAGAAGACAAAUAUAUCAUUAUAAAUGGCUUUAAACAUUUCACAAACCCCUAUUGGCAUAAAAUGCAUGAUGCAUUGGCCUGGACUGGCUCAGCUGGUUAGAAGCAACGCAGAGUUCCUAAUGGCUAAUGAGUGCCAUCUACUAGUCAAGACACAUACCCACCGUCAACCAUUCAACACU
rnacentral:lncRNA from 1 species